CUUGAUCGAGCCCAGGUAGAGCGGCUUGUCGGCGGGGCGCUGGCCAUAGGUGGCGAGCAGCGCCUGCGCCUC
rnacentral:antisense_RNA from 1 species